CGGGGUGCACCAGGCGCGAAAACUUUACAAUGCUGGCAACAGCGAUAAGGGGACCUCGAGUGCCAGGAUACAAUCUUGGCUGUCGCGAUGCCUAAAAAGCAUUGCAUAGCAAGGGCCGGGCAAGACCGGUGCCAGCCGCCGCGGUAACACCGGCGGCUCGAGUGGUAACCGCUAUUAUUGGGUCUAAAGGGUCUGUAGCCGGCCGGAUAAGUCUUUUGGGAAAUCCAGCUGCUCAACAGUUGGGCUUUCAGAAGAUACUGUUCGGCUCGAGACCGGGAGAGGUGAGAGGUACUUCAGGGGUAGGGGUGAAAUCUUGUAAUCCUUGAAGGACCACCAGUGGCGAAGGCGUCUCACCAGAACGGAUCUGACGGCAAGGGACGAAAGCUAGGGGCACGAACCGGAUUAGAUACCCGGGUAGUCCUAGCCGUAAACGAUACUCGCUAGGUGUCAGCCACGGUGCGACCGUGGUUGGUGCCGUAGGGAAGCCGUGAAGCGAGCCACCUGGGAAGUACGGCCGCAAGGCUGAAACUUAAAGGAAUUGGCGGGGGAGCAC
rnacentral:rRNA from 1 species